rnacentral:misc_RNA from 1 species
CCAACCAGCAAUCAAUAUAAUUUUACAAUAUAUUAUAUCAGAUACAAUGAGUAUGUGUAUAUGAGAAUCAGGACGGCUGGUUGUAUUAAUACACUGCUGAGAGUCACACAUACAUGCACACUGCAGAGACAGUACCUUAGAUAUUUGCAAUAACACGCAUGUACAGGUGAAUCGCAUACAUAUUUAUGGACAUAGCAAGGAAAACAGAUCAGGAACUAAAGCAAGGAGUCAAUAGAGCUGAUUGGAUCAACGUCUGAAGUAUCAAGGUCAAGAUCUGAUGUGACGAAAUGAGCAGACUUUCCCCCGAUGUUGCAGAGGAAGGAGGUAGCUUCAGCUCCUGUUCGAUAUGUAUGCAUGACUACGAUGACAGAGAGCACCAGCCUAAGCUCCUCCCAUGCCAACAUGGCCACAGCUAUUGCAAGACAUGCCUUGUACGACUACUGGGCACGAAGAACUUUAUCCACUGCCCAUCAUGUCGUAAGAAGAUUGUCAUGGGAGAGAGAGGCAUUGAUGAAUUACAAACAAACUAUUAUAUUGUGUAUAUAAAGUCUUUACAGAGACAGAAGAAAGGUGGUGGAGAUUACUGCAAGGUCCACCCAGAUAGACGACUGGUGUUAUUCUGUAAGACAUGCAAUGAGACAGUGUGCAGAGACUGCACAGCAAGAGCACAUAAUGAGACACAGGGACAUGUGAUUAUUGAAACAAAACAAGCUCUUAUUGACAACAAACAUACCCUUCAGGAACAGAUAGGGCAAGCCUCGCAGGUUGUUGUAGAUGCUGAUGAUACUAUAACUAGCCUACGCAAUGAGCUAAGCAACAUGGCUACAACUGAACUGUCAAUGACACAAAGCAUUAAUGACCUGUUUGAUGAAUUUGAACAAAAGCUCCAAAAUCAACGUCAGAUAAUUAAGGAUAAAAUCAAAGCAGUAUAUGGGAGUCAAUCUGAGGCAGUACAGAGUGAUCUCAACCAAAUAAAGGAGUUAUCGACCCAUGUUAACAUUGCAAUGAAGAACUCCAACACAGCACUACAGAACAAUAUCUUAGAUGAGAUCUUAUCUAACACAACCAGCAAUGCUCUCGCACUAAAUGAUAUGACCGAUGCAUUACGUAAGGCUGCUAGGAGGCAGCAUUCUAAACACUCUCUACAACUCGAUGCUUCCACUAGUAAGGAGCUAUUUGAUACUACUGUAAAAGACCUGGGAAGGUUUGUGGCAAUCCAGGCCAAACCCCCCACAGCCUGCCUUGCUACUUCCAUCAAGCUGGUCCUACCAGAAGGUGCAAAGAUCAAUGUUAUGAUAAAGGAUUCCAAUGGUGAACAUGUCAAGAGUAGAGUCACUGAAGGUAACGAUGCAUACUAUCUUCACUUUAGGCCAAUGAAGAGUGGCAAACAUAAACUGUUCAUAGACUUCAAAGGGAAGACCACAAGUCGGAUUGAAAACCCAUUUACAGUGAAGCCAAAUAAUCCACUGUUGAAAGUAGGAGAACAGGGGAUUGGGCCAAAGAAGUUUGAUGGCCCUGCAGCAGUUGCUGUAGGCAAAAACGGCGACAUAUUUGUUGCAGAUUUUGGAAAUCAUACUGUGCAGUGGUUUGGAGCAUCCGGAGAUUACCUCCACUCAUUUCCAAUAGGUAAGCGAAUAAGCCAAACAGAAAUGAUUACUGCAAGUGCCUUAGUUGCAACUGGCCUUAAUGAACUAGUAUGCAACAAGGCCAUCUAUGUAUACAAGCAGAACAUGUGGAACUUGAAAUCAUGCAACACAAUAACAUUCUAUGGGCCACAGGGGCAUCUCCUACAGCAAGUGAGUAGUAAAUCCUUAAAACAAGUCCAUGGUGUUGCUAUCAACAGCUUGCAACAUAUCAUUGCAUCAGACCUUGCCCAACACAAAAUCUUCAUCCUUACGAGGAAAGGAUCUGUGCUGAAGACUAUAGGUAAAACAGGAGGUGGGUCAAUCCCAGGACAAUUCAGGCUCCCAAAGGCAGUGUGUGUAGGCCCCAAUGAUGAGAUUAUAGUCUCAGAUUCUGAUAACCACCGAAUACAAGUUUUAACCAAAGAUGGCACAUUUUUAAACCAGUUUAAUGGCAAUGAUAAGUUCCAGCUGAAGAGUCCUAAUGGAGUCGCUGCUGACCCUCACGGCCAUGUCUUGGUGUGUGAUUGGUCUGACUCAAGUGUUAAGGUGUUCACAAUGGAAGGGACCUUUGUAGGACAGUUAGAGAGCACAAGUGAACGUAUGAUGUGGCCCAGGGGACUGGCAAUAGCGCCACCUAAUCAUACCAUUGUUGCAGAUUCUGGGAAUCAUUGCAUAAAAGCUUAUAAAUACAUGUAACAAUAGUGAGAUUUUAUUAACAGUGCCUAUAUGAAGGUGAUACCGGACAGAAGUGAUGCACCGAGAUUUAUUAUCUAGUUAUUGGCAAAUAAAACUACUAAUAAUUAACUAUUAAUAGUGAAGAGCAUUCAGAAAAUCACCCUCUCUGAAGUGAACAAUACUGCCUACUUAUGGCAACUAUUAUGAAACAUGAUUUUGAUGUAAAAUAUUUUAAACUAGAGAUUAUCUUCAAUUUCUAUCACCAUGCUAAUAUAAUGUCAGAUAAAUGGUAAUGGAUUAGACAUUAUAAAAGUGUGAACUUCUAUAUUGCGCCAAAUUAUUCUAGAAAAUUCUAUUUCGAUUUUUUUUAAUCUUUAGUUGAACAGGUUCAGUAUAAGAGGAGAAUGAUUCAAUAAGUAAGCUAAAAUACUAAACUCCAAAAUGAGUGCAGGAAGUCAAGAAACAACAUACCGUAUAUAAUGCAUGUACAAGAAACAUAUACCUUAUGCAAAUGCACAUCAGAGCAAGAUGAAUACAUGUGCAUUAGCAAAAUGCUCCAAGCUUUUUUAGCUGAUUUUUGUUCGUCCAAUUAUGAUCAUUUUGAGCAUAGCUGAUUUGCAUUUAAAAUGCUUUGCAUACAGUGUUCAAUUUACAGAUGCUCUGAUGAAAAUGAAAGUAAAAAUUGAUUUUUUAACUCAGAUCUGAAAAAAUGUAAAGGUUUUCUCAAUACUGCAGACUACAAUGUACAUGCAAAACUAAAGUCAAAUUAUUUUUAAGGAACACUGCGUGUAUUUUAUGUUAAGUAUAUGCCUUAUUAUUAUGUAAGAUGGUCUAAGUAGUUUGUAGUGCAUACAACAUGUGUUGAUGAGAAUGAGUAUUCAAUGUUUAGUGUUAAUCAAUACAUAUUAACAUGGCCAAUGAUUUACAAUGUUGUAAAGGAAUCAAUUUCUAGCAUUGCUUUAUCAAUAUAAUAAUCAUGACGAUGUUGGUGUAUUAUAAUAUGAGACAGCAGACUAACAUUGCUCUGAGCUUAUAGAUUCCCACUGCACAUGUGGGUAUAUACUGAUUAUAGUAACGGUAGUGCAUGUAUUCCUAAUAAACAGUGCAAGUAUUUAUCCAAGUGAUGAAGUAUGGUACAUUUAAUUGUAAUUAAUAACAGAUGGAGACAUGUAUUGUGCUGCAAGUAUUCAUAAUAAAAUGAUGGAUG